rnacentral:rRNA from 1 species
UACGUAGGGGGCAAGCGUUGUCCGGAUUUAUUGGGCGUAAAGAGCGUGUAGGCGGCUUUGCAAGUCCGUUGUGAAAACUCGAGGCUCAACCUCGAGACGCCGGUGGAAACUGCAAAGCUAGAGUCCGGAAGAGGAGAGUGGAAUUCCUGGUGUAGCGGUGAAAUGCGCAGAUAUCAGGAGGAACACCGGUGGCGAAGGCGGGACUCUGGGCCGAUACUGACGCUGAGGAGCGAAAGCGUGGGGAGCGAACAGG